UGUGUCGCAAGCCACCUGCAACCAUUAGAGUUCUAAGAGUUCUUUCUUCUCUCGUUUUUGUUUCAAUGUUUAUUUCAGUUUGCUUUUCAAUUGUUAUGAACAUGUGUAACUAAGUUUUUCUUAGUUGGAGGUGAAUUCGAAGCCAUGGACAUGUUUAAUAUGAAUGGAUUACUUUCAGUUAUUGUUUCGUAAAACAUGAAUGUGAUUUACUUAUCUGCGUUAUUGAAAACCUAUUCUUGUGUGUUUAUUAAGGAUGCAUACUUAGUUUGCAUGCAGGGAUUUGAUGCUAAAUUAUAAGGGAAUUUCACCUAAUCAUUAUGAACCUAUAAUUAAAAGUAGUGGAGAUUGCUAGUCACAAUCGUGUUAAGUAAAUUAUGGGCAAGAGUUCAUGCAGUUCAUAGUUACGAAUGCCUUGUCAAUGCUUAUGAUUUUCAUAGAACUUAAUGAUCUUUGGUAUGUAUCUCUAUCAUGUUGUUCAUAUAGGGAACUUGAGAAGAAUAAUUUGGUUGCGAUGCGUUGUCCAUUCAAUUCAAUGAACUUAGGAAAAUCUGAAAGUUAAUUAGUGCAUUCACAAUUAAUUUGGGGUAUUGUCAUUCAUGGUUUAAAGAAACAAUACUGGAAAUCAAUUUAUGUUGCAUAUGGUUCAUGUGUGGAGAAGGAUUCUCUGGCUGAGUUUUCACCAUUCAAAUCACCUAAUUUACUUUGUUUUGCAAUCUGUUUAGUUUAGCUAAAUUUCGUCCAAAUCAAUUCCCCCUUUAAUUAAGUGUGUUAGAUUAGUUAGAAAAGUGUUCAAAUCUGUCUAAUUUAGUGUUUUGAGUCUUAAUAGUCUUAAAUUCGUCCAAUUAACUCCCUAGAGUCAGUUUUGAGUCAAUUUCACUUAGUUUUGCUUUUUUGAGUAGUUUGAGUCAGUUUUAAGUCUUAAGUGUUUAGUUUUGUGUUUCUAAGUCUAGUAU
rnacentral:lncRNA from 1 species